UACGUAGGGUGCGAGCGUUGUCCGGAAUUAUUGGGCGUAAAGGGCUCGUAGGCGGUUUGUCGCGUCGGGAGUGAAACACACAGCUUAACUGUGUGCUGGCUUCCGAUACGGGCAGACUAGAGGUAUGCAGGGGAGAACGGAAUUCCUGGUGUAGCGGUGAAAUGCGCAGAUAUCGGAAGGAACACCAGUGGCGAAAGCGGCUUCCUGGUCCAGCACCGACGUUCAGGCACGAAA
rnacentral:rRNA from 1 species